AUUAUAUAUGUAUACUAACAAGGCAAAGUAGGUAUUGAUUGUAAGGCCAACUGAAGAUUCAAUUAUCAUUUAUAAUUGAUGAUUGAUAUACACCCCAAUUAAAGAAACUUGAAUUGAGGAAAAAACUACUUGCCUAAAAUAAAAGUAUAAAAUACAAAGUAUAUGUGGAUUGUCCUAAGCUUAGUAACUGGAUCUCUGCACUUAAGUCAAAGUGGAGGUUCGCAUC
rnacentral:lncRNA from 1 species